GACCAAUACUUGCCCUUGUCUUGAAAACAAGGCUAGAGUGUUUAAAGUUCACUCAUUGGUUU
rnacentral:tRNA from 1 species